CCACGCCGUAAACGAUGUCGACUUGGAGGUUGUGGCUUCCGGAGCUAACGCGUUAAGUCGACCGCCUGGGGAGUACGGCCGCAAGGUUAAAACUCAAAUGAAUUGACGGGGGCCCGCACAAGCGGUGGAGCAUGUGGUUUAAUUCGAUGCAACGCGAAGAACCUUACCUGGUCUUGACAUCCAGGUGCUGCAUGGCUGUCGUCAGCUCGUGUUGUGAAAUGUUGGGUUAAGUCCCGCAACGAGCGCAACCCUUAUCCUUUGUUGCAACUCAAAGGAGACUGCCAGUGAUAAACUGGAGGAAGGUGGGGAUGACGUCAAGUCAUCAUGGCCCUUACGACCAGGGCUACACACGUGCUACAAUGGCGCAUACAAAGAGAAGCGACCUCGCGAGAGCAAGCGGACCUCAUAAAGUGCGUCGUAGUCCGGAUUGGAGUCUGCAACUCGACUCCAUGAAGUCGGAAUCGCUAGUAAUCGUGGAUCAGAUGCCACGGUGAAUACGUUCCCGGGCCUUGUACACACCGCCCGUCACACCAUGGGAGUGGGUUGCAAAAGAAGUAGGUUACCACUUUGUGAUUCAUGACUGGGGUGAAGCGUAACAAGUAACCAAGG
rnacentral:rRNA from 1 species